rnacentral:rRNA from 1 species
UACGUAGGGAGCAAGCGUUGUCCGGAAUCAUUGGGCGUAAAGAGCGUGUAGGCGGCCCGGUAAGUCCGCUGUGAAAGUCAAAGGCUCAACCUUUGAAUGUCAGCGGAUACUGCCGGGCUAGAGUCCGGAAGAGGCGAGUGGAACUCCUGGUGUAGCGGUGGAAUGCGCAGAUAUCAGGAAGAACACCAACGGCGAAGGCAGCUCGCUGGGACGGAACUGACGCUGAGGCGCGAAAGCGUGGGGAGCGAACAGG